GUUAAAAUAAAAAGAAAAAUAUUCUAAGUGCUAUUUUUAUUUCUAUGUGAAUGAGUUUGGUAUACAAAGUUGCUGGUGCCAUUCUUUCCCUUUUAUUUGCAUGUUUCUAAACAACACUUCAUAUGAAUUUCUCUUCCUUCACCAACUUUCUGUAUUUUUUUCUUUUUUCUUUGUAAAUAGCUAGAGACCAUACAAGCACAGCUGGAUUCUCUUACAUGAUGUUUGUGAAGACUGGUUUCUUCAUCACACUCCCACCACCUCAUUAUUUUGCAUUGAAGAAAGAUUGCCUGGAUGUAUUUUUUGGAGGAUUCAGUGACUUACUUUCUAUAAAUUAUACAGCUUAUCACUUCUUAGACAAAUAACAGCCAAAGGAGAUCACUGUUAGGAGUUCAGAGGUUCUAAUAUACUUUCUCUAGUUCUGUGAGCCAAUAGCAGUUGUUAAAAAACACUUUUACUUCAGAGAAAUCAAAAGUGAAUACCAUAUUAUUUUUACUGUCAUAUUGUUGCUUCACCUCUUUAUUUUUUACAUGCUUGAUUAUCUCUUUCUGUAUCAAGAAGAGACCAUAGAUAGAUAGUAUAAUGGGUACCCUAACAGAAUGUAGAUCUUUUUAUUACGUUAAUAAAAUUAAGAAACAACCACAUGCAAAGACAUUAUGUCAUUUUUCCUAUGAUGAAUGUAUUUUGAUUGAGAAAUAAUAUCAGAAAUAAAUUUAAAAUGGAGCUAGCAGUAUUAUGUGAGUUAAUUCCAAUGUGAGCUUCUCUGUCUGCUUCUGAGUUUAAUGAUUUAAUAAUAGUCCCAGGUUUGUGUGCUUUUCUUUGUACUGCAGAUUAAUAAUGAUUUAUUUCAUAGUGUGGGAGAUAGAUUUGGAUCAUGAAUAAAAACAAUUGUAAUGAGUACUAAAUGGGCAUUCUU
rnacentral:lncRNA from 1 species